UACGUAGGGAGCGAGCGUUGUCCGGAAUUACUGGGUGUAAAGGGAGCGUAGGCGGGACUGCAAGUUGGGUGUCAAAUCUACCGGCUCAACCGGUAGCCGCACUCAAAACUGCAGUUCUUGAGUGGAGUAGAGGCAGGCGGAAUUCCUAGUGUAGCGGUGAAAUGCGUAGAUAUUAGGAGGAACACCAGUGGCGAAGGCGGCCUGCUGGGCUUCUACUGACGCUGAGGCUCGAAAGUGUGGGGAGCAAACAGG
rnacentral:rRNA from 1 species